AAGUCGUAACAAGGUUUCCGUAGGUGAACCUGCGGAAGGAUCAUUAUGAAUUGUGUGUUGUUUUGACUCUUUUUUUUAAAAGAGUCUCAACUCCUUUUCUGUGAACUGGAUUCUUUUUGUGUGCGCUUUGCUCUUAUGAGUGAGUGUUGCAAAUCGAAUUGCUUUUAUUUGUUUUCUGUUGUCAUUGUUCUUAUUAAAAGUUUUCUUUUUUAAUCAAAGACAACUUUCAGCAAUGGAUCUCUUGGCUCUU
rnacentral:misc_RNA from 1 species